ensembl:antisense Gm11670 predicted gene 11670
AGACUAUGGCGGCUUUCCAGCUCCAGUUUCAGUUUCUCCAGCCUGGAGAUGAGCUCGGCGGCGAAGGCAGCAGGUUCCACAGGCGUCAUCUCCUUGGGCAGGCGAAAAUGAAGAAAGCUGCUGCGGGCUAGUAGCAGAACACUGCUGAGCUCGGCUGCCUGAAGCCGAUCUAUCAAGGGAAAACGGAACAUCUCCAAACCAAAAUUUUCCCAUUCUUUGAUUCAGGAACUAUCAAACGUCACUCCAUUACCACCACAUCCAAAAGAACCAUUUAAUUUCCUCAGUCUGGCCAUUCCUUUCUGUUCCUUCACUACAGAUCUCAGGCAUUGCCCCCCCCCCCACCAGCUCCUGUAAUAAUUUAGGGCCUCACUACCCGUGUCCUGGUGUCCUGUCGUCUAUACUCACCGGAAAAUGAGGUAGAGACACUUGGCCAUUGGCCUUCACACUGCGAUGCAUCUCUCUCUGGAGCUGUUUCUUACUCCCCAUGCGGUAAGGAGGGACUCCAUCUCU